rnacentral:rRNA from 1 species
AGAAUCAACGCUGGCGGCGUGCCUAACACAUGCAAGUCGCACGAGAAAGGGUAGCAAUACCUGAGUAAAGUGGCGCACGGGUGAGUAACACGUGAAUUAUCUACCUCCGAGUGGGGAAUAACUGAGAGAAAUCUUAGCUAAUACCGCAUAACACUUACGAGUCAAAGCAGCAAUGCGCUUGGAGAGGAGUUCGCGGCCGAUUAGUUAGUUGGCGGGGUAAUAGCCCACCAAGACGAUGAUCGGUA